rnacentral:RNase_P_RNA from 1 species
CGAGUUGGCCGGACGGUCGCGGCACCUUCGGGGUCGAGGAAAGUCCGGGCUCCACAGGGCAGGGUGAUCGGUAACACCGACCCGGGGUGACCCGCGGGAAAGUGCCACAGAAAACAGACCGCUGCCGCGGCGCCUUCGGGCGAGGUGGCAGUAAGGGUGAAACGGUGCGGUAAGAGCGCACCAGCGCCCGGGGUGACCCGGGCGGCUCGGCAAACCCCACCCGGAGCAAGGUCAAGAGGGAGCUCUCCGGAGCUCCUGCGCAGGCGCUCGAGGGCGGCCCGUCCGAUGCCUGCGGGUAGACCGCACGAGGCCACCGGCAACGGUGGUCCCAGAUGGA